rnacentral:rRNA from 1 species
UCUGAAUCUGCGAACGGCUCCGCAAACCAGUUGUAAACUAUAGCAAGUCCGCCUUGGUGCCGGCCGUAAGGUUGGUGCUGGGGCUACAUGGAUACCCGUGGUAAUUCUGAGGCUAAUACAUGAACGUACCCCCUGAUCAACUGGGUAACCGGGAGGUUGGGGACAGUGCGGUCAGUCGCAGAUUUUGCUGGGAAUAGACGCACUUUCAAACCACCAUACAAGCAGUUGGGGUACCGACCUUCGGGAAGGUGCCCUUUCUGGGUGGGCCUUGCUUUGUGCUUCUGACCUAUCAACUAGAUGGCAGCGUAACGGACAUGCUAUGGUACAACGGUACAGAG